UUAAUCCGACCAACGCGUCUGCGAUUCAAACUGACAUACCACACACGCUACAGUCUUUGUUGGCCAUCGCGCACUAAUUCAACGAGUAGUUUCUCAAGUGACCGCCAUCCAUGAGAAGAGGACGUGUUUGCAUGGGCCACGAACAGUCCAUGGAGAAAUAAGGAAAGUCUAUUCGUAUACCUGGUCUAUGACACAAGAAAACAACAACAACACCACACAGGUGUUGUCGGGGAUCACGGAUAAUCGUCAUCAUCGUGUACUUGCACAUCGAAUCAUCGAUUUUAUUAAUAAUUUAAUCUUGUACCGGUGAUGAUGUUGCUAACGAUGAAUUGACUUUUCGUUGCAAUGUCGAAAGCAAAAGUUUCUGCAGAAUGGAGAAAGCGCGUGAAAUCCGAAUACAUGCGUUUACGACAAAUGAAACGCUAUAAGCGAGCAGACGAGGUAAAGAUAGCUUGGAAUCAAAAUCGCAAGUUCAUGUCUGAGCUCUUAACGAUCGAACAAAAACGAUGGGCAGACGGAAAGGCAAUGUGGUUAGCUAUGCAGGAUAUCCCGCCUCAUGUCUCUUGUAUGAAGAAAGCAGAAGUUACUAGCUCAGACGGAGAUGCACAAACGUGCCCUGUUAAAAUCAUUAAUGCAGUUACGCCGAUACCAACCAUGUAUACCUGGGCACCUAUACAGCAAAAUUUUAUGGUCGAAGAUGAAACGGUGCUACAUAAUAUACCUUAUAUGGGUGAUGAAAUUUUAGACCAAGAUGGUACAUUUAUCGAAGAAUUGAUUAAAAAUUAUGAUGGAAAAGUACACGGAGAUCGAGAAUCCGGUUUUAUGGAUGAUUCGAUAUUUGUGGAUUUAGUUAAUGCUUUGACGCAAUAUGAAAAAGAGGACAAAGACCGAGAGCAAACGAAGAAAGGAAAGGAAAAGGAAGAGGAUAAAGAAAGAAAGGAUAGUAAUAUCAAGGCCGAAGUUAAAACCGAAAAGUCGUUGGAAGACUCGAAAAUGCAUGGGAAUCCGUUUCCAUCUAUGCAUAUAUUCAAUGCGAUAUCUAGUAUAUUCCCUGACAAAGGUAGACCCGAAGAAUUAAAAGAAAAAUACAUAGAAUUAACGGAAAGAUCGGACCCGAAUGUUUUGCCACCCGAGUGUACGCCGAAUAUCGAUGGAGCGAAUGCUAAGAGCGUACCAAGGGAACAGACGAUGCAUUCCUUUCACACGCUUUUCUGCAGAAGAUGUUUCAAAUACGACUGCUUUCUUCACCCCAGGGGAUCAUCGCCGCAAGGUCUUCAAGUCUGUCAUCCGGGACCGAAUCUACAGAAACGGAAAGGACCUGAUCUGAAACCGUUUUCCGAACCGUGUGGAACGGAAUGUUACAUGCAUUUGGAGGGGAUGAAGGAAAAACUUGCAGCUCAAGCGGCUGAUAUAAAAGAUGAGGAAAGCGACGAGAAACGUGGAGGUCCUAGAAAAGUACGGAAACAAGCAAGCGUAGAUUCUGGUAACGAAGCUAGCAGCGAAGACAGCAACGAUAGCAACAAAUAUAGCCAGGGAGGUGGCUGUCAAGAUUUCAAACAGAACGUUAAUAAAGAAACAAAGCCGGAAGAGUCGAUGGAAGAUCAAGCACAACCGGAAAACCAAGUACCGUUUACGCUUCUGGGUCUCGAUAAACGUAUAAAAACAGAAAGCGAAGUUUCGUGGACUGGUUCGGAGCAAAGCUUGUUUCGCGCCCUUCAUAAAGCUUUUCCUGGCAAUCCUUGUGCAUUGGCACAGAUCAUGUUAACAAAAACUUGUCAAGAAGUUUACCAAUUUGCUCAAAAAGAGGCCUCGGAUAUUCCUGCGAUCGAAAAUUUGAAAGACUUUACUCCGCCACGAAAGAAAAAAAAGAAACAUCGACUUUGGUCGAUGCAUUGUAGAAAGAUACAGCUGAAGAAGGACUCUGGUGCUAAUCAUGUCCAUAAUUUUGCACCGUGCGACCAUCCAGGAAGACAGUGCGACAACUCGUGUCCAUGUAUACAGGCUCAGAAUUUCUGUGAAAAGUUUUGUCAGUGCAGCAGCGAAUGUCAAAAUCGUUUCCCGGGAUGUAGGUGUAAAGCUCAGUGCAACACAAAGCAAUGCCCGUGUUAUCUGGCUGUAAGGGAAUGCGAUCCGGAUCUUUGCCAAACAUGCGGUGCAGAUCAGUUUCAUAUUACAAAAAUAUCCUGCAAAAACGUUAGCGUUCAACGUGGUCUCCAUAAACACCUUUUAAUGGCGCCAUCCGACGUGGCUGGUUGGGGAAUAUUUCUUAAAGAAUCUGCGGCAAAGAACGAAUUUAUCUCGGAAUAUUGUGGUGAAAUUAUAAGUCAAGACGAAGCUGAUCGAAGGGGCAAAGUAUACGACAAAUACAUGUGCAGUUUUCUCUUUAAUCUUAACAAUGGUAAAAAGUCGUGUAAAAUGUGGAUGACUUUGUCGUGGAUGCUACGCGAAAAGGAAAUAAAAUAAGAUUCGCCAAUCAUUCGAUAAAUCCAAAUUGUUACGCAAAAGUGAUGAUGGUAAACGGUGACCAUAGAAUUGGUAUUUUUGCCAAGAGAGCUAUUCAACCCGGCGAAGAAUUAUUUUUCGAUUACAGAUACGGACCGACGGAACAAUUAAAAUUCGUGGGUAUCGAGCGUGAGAUGGAAUUUUUGUAACGCGUACACGAAUUGAAAUUUAUAUUAUAACGUUAGAAAGGAUGUAUAAAUUACGACGACCACCGAACAAACGGAAUUUUUUAUGUACUUAUCGUAAUGAAUAUUUUACCGGGUGUUGUAAAUUCAUUCGAUUAAUUUUAAAUUGACGAAAUUUUAACCGAGAAAAUAUAACGAAAUUU